GGUCCUGUAGGAUAACGGUUAGUCCGAAGGUUUCUGAUUUGUGACAACAAGUCUUGCAUUCCUUAAGCCGCGGUUCGACUCCGCGCAGGACCU
rnacentral:tRNA from 1 species